GACAUCAGGAGGUUAGUGCAAUGGCAUAAGCCAGCUUGACUGCGAGCGUGACGGCGCGAGCAGGUGCGAAAGCAGGUCAUAGUGAUCCGGUGGUUCUGAAUGGAAGGGCCAUCGCUCAACGGAUAAAAGGUACUCCGGGGAUAACAGGCUGAUACCGCCCAAGAGUUCAUAUCGACGGCGGUGUUUGGCACCUCGAUGUCGGCUCAUCACAUCCUGGGGCUGAAGUAGGUCCCAAGGGUAUGGCUGUUCGCCAUUUAAAGUGGUACGCGAGCUGGGUUUAGAACGUCGUGAGACAGUUCGGUCCCUAUCUGCCGUGGGCGCUGGAGAACUGAGGGGGGCUGCUCCUAGUACGAGAGGACCGGAGUGGACGCAUCACUGGUGUUCGGGUUGUCAUGCCAAUGGCACUGCCCGGUAGCUAAAUGCGGAAGAGAUAAGUGCUGAAAGCAUCUAAGCACGAAACUUGCCCCGAGAUGAGUUCUCCCUGAGACUUAAAGUCUCCUGAAGGAACGUUGAAGACGACGACGUUGAUAGGCCGGGUGUGUAAGCGCAGCGAUGCGUUGAGCUAACCGGUACUAAUGAACCGUGAGG
rnacentral:rRNA from 1 species